rnacentral:rRNA from 1 species
UCGAGGGGCAGCAUUUUAGUUUGCUUGCAAACUGAAGAUGGCGACCGGCGCACGGGUGAGUAACACGUAUCCAACCUGCCGAUAACUCCGGAAUAGCCUUUCGAAAGAAAGAUUAAUACCGGAUAGUAUACGAAUAUCGCAUGAUAUUUUUAUUAAAGAAUUUCGGUUAUCGAUGGGGAUGCGUUCCAUUAGUUUGUUGGCGGGGUAACGGCCCACCAAGACUACGAUGGAUAGGGGUUCUGAGAGGAAGGUCCCCCACAUUGGAACUGAGACACGGUCCAAACUCCUACGGGAGGCAGCAGUGAGGAAUAUUGGUCAAUGGGCGCGAGCCUGAACCAGCCAAGUAGCGUGAAGGAUGAAGGCUCUAUGGGUCGUAAACUUCUUUUAUAUGGGAAUAAAGUUUUCCACGUGUGGAAUUUUGUAUGUACCAUAUGAAUAAGGAUCGGCUAACUCCGUGCCAGCAGCCGCGGUAAUACGGAGGAUCCGAGCGUUAUCCGGAUUUAUUGGGUUUAAAGGGAGCGUAGGUGGAUUGUUAAGUCAGUUGUGAAAGUUUGCGGCUCAACCGUAAAAUUGCAGUUGAAACUGGCAGUCUUGAGUACAGUAGAGGUGGGCGGAAUUCGUGGUGUAGCGGUGAAAUGCUUAGAUAUCACGAAGAACUCCGAUUGCGAAGGCAGCUCACUAGACUGUUACUGACACUGAUGCU